GCUUUUAAAGGAUAAUAGACAUCCGCUGACCUUAGGAGC
rnacentral:tRNA from 1 species